rnacentral:tRNA from 1 species
UCCCUGGUAGCUCAGUUGGUAAAGAAUCUGCCUGUAAUACAGGAGACCCAGGUUCGAUCCCUGGGUUGGGAA